rnacentral:lncRNA from 1 species
UCCUAUUAAAGAAAGACAAAUUUGGUGUAACAAGCUGCAAGCUUGACUAAAUUUUGCAUCAAAACGAAGUGAAGAUGAAAGGAAGAGACACAUCAAUGGAAAAGCAACUUACGGUUUGAGCAGUGUCAAUGAAGGUAACCUUUCUUUUCUUUAAUCUCACUUCACAGCAGUCAUUUUCUGAAGAAGCCUUGGGACUGGUAUGUUGCAGCUCAGCAGCAACAUGCGAGUUAUCCUGACAAUUUUCAUUCUCUUUUGUUCCUGCUGAUCGCUUGUGCUGAAAAUAAGAACUCCUUACUAUUACUCGUUUGUUCUCUUUCUCUUUCUGUUCAGUAUCACCUGAGGAACCAAAAAUGAAUUUAUUGUCAUCAGGAGCAUCAUCCUUAAUCAAAAGAUUAUAACUAUUAAUGUACCAACCAUUUCCUGAUGAUGGCUUAUGCUGAAAAUAAGAACUCCGCACAAUGGCAGUUUUAACGACUGCUGCUACUGUUUCAUCCCUUGCAUCUGAAAUAGAAUCACAAUCAUUCUCCUGAAUGCUUCUAUGAGAUUUAUCAUUGGCAGCCCCAUUUAUCUCACUCUUAUCAUCCUGAUUAUCUUCCUUUUUCUUAUUCUUCAGAAAAUAGGAGCUCCUCACUAUCACUUUUCCUUUUUCAGCUUGCAUUGUGCUCUCGCUCAAAUCUAAAGCACGCUCCUUACUCGAUGUCAUGCAGGGUUUACAUAUUGGAUGCUGUAGCGGAACAGGUUGUAGUCCUAUAUAAUUUGCAAUUUCUUCCUCUUCCAGUCGUCCUGCUCAGAUGAUAUAAGGAAAGAGUGUUUAACUGCACUUAUUG